rnacentral:rRNA from 1 species
AGAAUCAACGCUGGCGGCGCGCUUAACACAUGCAAGUCGCACGAGAAAGUGGAGCAAUCCAUGAGUACAGUGGCGUACGGGUGAGUAACACGUGGAUCAUCUACCUUUUAGUGGGGAAUACCCCCGGGAAACUGGGGAUAAUACCGCAUAAUCUCGCAAGAGGAAAGCAGCAAUGCGCUGAAAGAGGAGUCCGCGGCUGAUUAGCUAGUUGGUGGGUAAUGGCUCACCAAGGCGAAGAUCGGUAGCCGGCCUGAGAGGGCACACGGCCACACUGGCACUGAAACACGGGCCAGACUCCUACGGGAGGCAGCAGUGGGGAAUCUUGCACAAUGGAGGAAACUCUGAUGCAGCGACGCCGCGUGAGCGAUGAAGCCCCUCGGGGUGUAAAGCUCUUUCGGACGGGAACGAUAAUGACGGUACCGAAGAAGAGCUGCGGCUAACUACGCGCCAGCAGCCGCGGU